rnacentral:lncRNA from 1 species
AAAAUAAGUGUCUCACUCAUAGCAAACUGACAGGUAUGUCACAGCACCAACUCUGGAGUCUAAUUCAUGCUCAGAGUCAUACUUCCGCUAACUGGAGUUCAAGUCUUAAUUUAUAAAACGGGCUGAGUGUUGACACAAAGAGAUGAUUGCCCUUGGAAGGUAAGUUUAAUGUAGCCCUAGAAAUGAGAGAUGGGGCCCAUCCCACUGAGCUAGAGAAGGAAGAUUCUUAUACAGGCAGGAGGUAGAACUGGUGUCAGUCGAGUUGGUCCAGAACUUGCACUGUGGCUUUUGCGGUCAAAGGCAGUGGGGAUAAAAUAAAGGAGUUAAGACUGGUGAAUAUGAAUAUUUGCGGUGGGCUUUUGGCUACAGGAAGGUUUUCUAUUAUUUGGCACCUGGUUCUGAAGGAGAAAUAUUACUUGGGAUGUGAGUUAGAUGAGAGCUCCUUGGGAGAAAAGUCUAGGGAUUCCUGCAUACAAAAGAUGCACACCUACCAUUAAUUCUUUAUUAACUCUAAAGUUUCCUGUCACUAGAAAGGGCAGUCUCCCUAACAUCAUGAUUCUUAAGGUUAAAAGCAUUACAAAUAAAGCAUUGAGAAUAAAACUCAUAGCCAGUACAGUGACAUUGAACAAGUUUGUCAACCUGACUUACUUUACUCAUCUAUAAACUGGGCACAAUAAUAAUAAUCAUGACACCACAGGGCUGCUGUGAGGGCUAAAUGAACUAAUAUAAAGAGCAUGGAGAACAGAGUGUGACGCAUAGGGAAUAUGAUAUUAAAACCAUAGAUACUUGUCAUCACAAUACCUCUCGAUGCCCCCCAAAAGGACAAGGAUGCUUUGAGAGUUCCAGAUGCAUGCAUGAAUGUCAGUAUGAAUGUGACUUUUCAUGACCAUAUAUGUGCAUUUCUUUUAAGGAAUUUAUAUUUCUAAGUUCUUAGAAAGAGAAAAUGAGUUCUUGAGUUAAGUGGGAAGCAAAGUAAAGACGAUCACUUCAGGUAAGGAGACUCCGAGGCUCUGCAGCCCGAGCUGCUGAUUUCCUACAGUGCUGAUUCCAAGCCAUCUGUCUCUGCCUGGGCAUUUAAGGCAGACAUUUGUCUUUCAAGUUUCUUCCAGCAACAUCACAGUCACCAAAUGAAGCCUAAUCUCUCCCAUCUAUAACCCAGUGAGGUUUUGUUGGACUGGGUAGCAGCGUUCCC